rnacentral:rRNA from 1 species
CCAACAGGGAUUGCCUCAGUAACGGCGAGUGAAGCGGCAACAGCUCAAAUUUGAAAUCUGGAGCCUUCGGCUUCCGAGUUGUAAUUUGAAGAGGAUGUUUCGGUUGCGACCUGGGCCUAGGUUCCUUGGAACAGGACGUCAUGGAGGGUGAGAAUCCCGUACAUGGCUGCAGGUUUGCUUCCAUGUGAAACUCCUUCGAAGAGUCGAGUUGUUUGGGAAUGCAGCUCAAAAUGGGUGGUAAAUUUCAUCUAAAGCUAAAUAUUGGCGGGAGACCGAUAGCGCACAAGUAGAGUGAUCGAAAGAUGAAAAGCACUUUGAAAAGAGAGUUAAACAGUACGUGAAAUUGUUGAAAGGGAAGCGCUUGCAAUCAGACUCGCCUUCAGCUGAUCAACCUUCCUUCUGGUUGGUGCACUCUGCUGUUGGCGGGCCAGCAUCAGUUGGGGCGGUGGGAUAAAGGCGGCAGGAAUGUGGCUCGCUUCGGUGAGUGUUAUAGCCUGUCGUGCCAUGCCACCAGUCCCGACUGAGGUCCGCGGUUCUUGCCUAGGAUGCUGGCUUAAUGGUUGU